UACGUAGGUGGCAAGCGUUGUCCGGAUUUAUUGGGCGUAAAGCGCGCGCAGGUGGUGCGGUAAGUCUGCCGUGAAAUCUCCCGGCUCAACUGGGAGGGGGCGGUGGAGACUGCCGGACUGGAGGGACUCAGAGGCCGGUGGAAUUCCCGGUGUAGUGGUGAAAUGCGUAGAGAUCGGGAGGAACACCAGUGGCGAAGGCGGCCGGCUGGGGGUGCCCUGACGCUGAGGCGCGAAAGCGUGGGGAGCGAAC
rnacentral:rRNA from 1 species